GACGAACGCUGGCGGCGUGCUUAACACAUGCAAGUCGAACGAUGAAGCCGGAGCUUGCUCUGGUGAAUUAGUGGCGAACGGGUGAGUAACACGUGAGUAACCUGCCCUUGACUCUGGGAUAACUGCUAGAAAUGGUAGCUAAUACCGGAUACGACCCUCGGAGGCAUCUCCAGGGGGUGGAAAGAAUUUCGGUCAAGGAUGGACUCGCGGCCUAUCAGCUAGUUGGUGAGGUAAUGGCUCACCAAGGCGCCGACGGGUAGCCGGCCUGAGAGGGUGACGGGCCACACUGGGACUGAGACACGGCCCAGACUCCUACGGGAGGCAGCAGUGGGGAAUAUUGCACAAUGGGCGCAAGCCUGAUGCAGCAACGCCGCGUGAGGGAUGACGGCCUUCGGGUUGUAAACCUCUUUUAGUAGGGAAGAAGCGAAAGUGACGGUACCUGCAGAAAAAGCACCGGCUAACUACGUGCCAGCCGCCGCAGUAA
rnacentral:rRNA from 1 species